GCUGGAAAGGCUGUGUGUAGCCACUCCAGCCCACAACUCCAGCUGAGCUUCCAGGAUAUCGGCACCAACUGCCACCCAUGUUCAUGGUCCUCUUCCUAGUAAGGAUAAGACAUCCAUCCACCAAGGAAAAAUCAAGUCGUUACCAAAUGAAAGAACUGAGAAGGAAUAAGAUAUACCUAGUGGUGGAACUUCAAAAAUGAAAAAUGAAGAGAAUUAAGGCACGAUCCCAUUAUCCUCCUGGGAGAACUGCUGACUUUACUGGCAUCAAUCCUCUAAAGACUUAUGUAAAUUUUCAACUGGGUAGCUGGAAUUCAGUUUUUCCUGUAAACAAGAAGCACCAGUAGAAGAAGGCACAUGGAAACCUUGAAUCACAAGCAAGGGAGAGCUGAGGUCGUUUUAUUCCAAUAGCUUCACAAAGACUGAGCAACUUCAACUCUUUCAGGGCCAUACCUCCGACCAUCCUCAUCAACAACUGCCAUCCCCUGACCCACUUUCGGUCCACUUCCUCCUAUAUUUCCAACAAACUUAUACUAAUUUUCUAACUCUACCAAUUCCAGAUCUUACUGAAACCUCUAAUUAUGGACCUUAGCACUCAUUCCUAUCAACUCUCUCAUGUUUGCACAUCUCUCCUUUCUAGCUUCCUUUGUUUAUUACCAUCACACUCCUUGCAAACACUCUGACUUCUUAACACCUCAUUCCUCUCUUCCUACAUUGUGCUCACUUGGGAAAGUCUCAAGUCUAAUUAAAUCAAACUGUCUACCUAUUUUUGCCUGCAUUUCAGGAGCUGAAGAAACUUUGUGGAGAAAAAAACAAACUUGCUCUUGACUGCUUUCACCUUAAAAUCAUGAUUUCAAAUCAC
rnacentral:lncRNA from 1 species